CUCAUUCAAUGUCUGGAGCAAGCUUUCUGCACUCCACUGCCGGUGCUUUCUGGCUUCAAAAGCAGCUUCGAGACUGAGGAAUAGUAGACAGGAUUAGAAUAAGGCCCGGGAGUUCUACAACUCUGCUGAAUUCAAAAGGACCAUGAUCUUGGUCAGCUAAACCACACCCGAUGGCCAAGGGGCAGAGGAAAAGAUGGCAGAGUAGAGACUCUUGGACUUACUCAUUUGGAUUUUGGAGUUUUACCUGACUUGGUCAAGCCUCAUGCCAGAUCCAGGAGAUUGUUUUACUCUGCUGAUACUAGACUUCUCUAGAAGGUUUGCAUCUACCCAGUGAUUUGUGGAAUAAUCCCAGACCUCCAGAAUUUGCGAUUGGAGUGUUGGUGGCUAACUACUUAAGGUAUUAUAUCUCUAGUCAUGAUGAAACAUGAAGCCGCAACAGUGUCCCCAAAGCCACAUUUAUGGUUGUUCUAUUCAGGCUUUGUCUCAAGGAAUUUUUUGUAAUCAAAAAGUCAUUCAGUUGUUUAUAGUUGUUAUUACAGUUGACCCUUAAACAAUGCAGGGACUAGGGGCCCCAACACCCCAUGCAGUCAAAAAUUGGCAUGUAACUUUUGACCCCCCAAAAACUUAACUACUAAUAGGCUACUGUCUUAUUGGUAACAGAAACAGUUGAUUAUACAAGUUUUGUACAUUAUAUGUAUUAUACACUGUAUUCUUACAAUAGACUUGAGAAAUGUUAUUAAGAAAAUCAUAAAGAAGAGAAAAUAUAUUUAUUAUUCAUUAAGUGGAAGCAGAACAUCAUUAAUGGUCUUCAUCCUUAUUGUCUUCACAUUGAGUAGGCUGAGGAGGAAGAGGAAGAGGAGGGGUUGGUCUUGCUGUCUCAAGAGUAGCAGAAGCAGAAGAAAAUCCAAGUUGGUCAAAGGAAGAGGAGGAUCAAUGGCCUUUUUUCCUCCCCCCAACCUUUUUUUUUUUUUUUUUUUUUAAACAAAGAAGCAAAGUGAGAACAUUAAGCCCGAAAGAGAACUGUGUUCAUUGCAGGACUUUUUGAGGUCUGGUUAAGCCAUUUAUAUAAAGAAAUUACACAGUUCCUCUUUGGUAACCUCAAUCCUGAAAGUUAGUGUGACAGGCCUACAGCUUUUUGUUC
rnacentral:lncRNA from 1 species